rnacentral:lncRNA from 1 species
UAUAGAUGGUUAAUAGAAGAUAUGUUUCCUGUGUCACAAUAAAUAACACUUUUUCUCCUCCAUAUUUAGGCUUCAGCUUAUAAUGUUUCUUGAUUGAAUCAUUUGCUGGACUUCAUGUGACUUCAUAGAUAAAACUAGUCUUGCUGAGAGGGGAAUACACACUGGACAUGUGCAGGAAAAAGCUCCAUUAGGAGAUGGUUGCAAAUAUGAGAUUCUGCCUAUGAAACCAAGAGGGAGGCUCCCAAAUCAUAAAGAGGUGAGAUUUAAGGCGUAUCUUUUGUAUUUCCCAUUGGUUUGGCAAGUGUUUCCUUCGCUCAGAGCGCUGACCGUUGUGAAAUGGU